rnacentral:misc_RNA from 1 species
GAUGAAGAACGUAGCGAAAUGCGAUACGUAAUGUGAAUUGCAGAAUUCAGUGAAUCAUCGAGUCUUUGAACGCACAUUGCGCCACCUGGUACUCCGGGGGGCAUGCCUGUCCGAGCGUCAUUGCUGCCCUCAAGCACGGCUUGUGUGUUGGGCCUCCGUCCUCCUCCCGGGGGACGGGCCCGAAAGGCAGCGGCGGCACCGCGUCCGGUCCUCGAGCGUAUGGGGCUUCGUCACCCGCUCUUGUAGGCCCGGCCGGCGCUUGCCGACACAUCAAUCUUUUUUCCAGGUUGACCUCGGAUCAGGUAGGGAUACCCGCUGAACUUAAGCAUAUCAUAAGCGGAGGA